GUUUCCUGGACCUGCACCCUAUCAUUCCAGCCAUUUAUGUUAUAGGAUUUGGGAUGACGUUUCUCGUUUGGGUAUUUCCUGCUGGGGAAACAUGGAACCACACCUGUGGCCCAAAUCACCUGGGAUGAGGACAGUAAACUACAGCACCAAGGCUCCAAGUAUUUGAAUGCCUGGCACAGUUGGUGGCGCUGUUUGUGGAGGUUUCAGAGGUACAGCUCUGUGGAGUAAGCAAAGAUGGACUUUCAGAGUUCUUAAGUCUUAUGUGAUUUCCAGUUACACCAUCUAUACUGCCUGUGUCUGCUUGAAGAUGUGAACGCUCAGCUUUCUGCUCUGU